rnacentral:rRNA from 1 species
UACGGAGGGAGCUAGCGUUGUUCGGAAUUACUGGGCGUAAAGCGCACGUAGGCGGCUUUGUAAGUUAGAGGUGAAAGCCCGGGGCUCAACCCCGGAAUUGCCUUUAAGACUGCAUCGCUUGAAUCCAGGAGAGGUGAGUGGAAUUCCGAGUGUAGAGGUGAAAUUCGUAGAUAUUCGGAAGAACACCAGUGGCGAAGGCGGCUCACUGGCUCGGUACUGACGCGUGAG